AGAUUUGUUUAGUAGCCAGGUAUGACUUGUCUACAUUUCUCCCUAAUAUAUAAGAUUAAACACAUAAAUUAAUCAGAAGAAAAAAAAAUCAGCAAGUGCAUAUUUACAUGGGUUCUCCAGGCAAUCAUCUUGGCUAACUUCAUGGGCUCU
rnacentral:miRNA from 1 species